rnacentral:rRNA from 1 species
UGAGUUUGAUCAUGGCUCAGGACGAACGCUGGCGGCAUGCCUAAUACAUGCAAGUCGAACGAUGACGUCCUCUGCUUGCAGAGGACUGAUUAGUGGCGAACGGGUGAGUAACACGUGGGAAAUCUGCCCAUGAGCGGGGGAUAACAUUCGGAAACGGAUGCUAAUACCGCAUACGUCAAUGGACCGCAUGGUCCGCUGAUCAAAGAUGGCUUCGGCUAUCACUCAUGGAUGAUCCCGCGGCGCAUUAGUUAGUUGGUGGGGUAACGGCCUACCAAGACAGUGAUGCGUAGCCGACCUGAGAGGGUGAUCGGCCACACUGGGACUGAGACACGGCCCAGACUCCUACGGGAGGCAGCAGUAGGGAAUCUUCCACAAUGGGCGCAAGCCUGAUGGAGCAAUGCCGCGUGAAUGAAGAAGGUCUUCGGAUCGUAAAGUUCUGUUAUUAGAGAAGAACAAGGUGAGGAGUAACUGCCUUACCCUUGACGGUACCUAACCAGAAAGUCACGGCUAACUACGUGCCAGCAGCCGCGGUAAUACGUAGGUGACAAGCGUUGUCCGGAAUUAUUGGGCGUAAAGGGAGCGCAGGCGGUUGGAAUAGUCUGAUGUGAAAGCCCACGGCUUAACCGUGGAAGGUCAUUGGAAACUGUCCAACUUGAAUGCAGAAGAGGAAAGCGGAAUUCCAUGUGUAGCGGUGAAAUGCGUAGAUAUAUGGAGGAACACCAGUGGCGAAGGCGGCUUUCUGGUCUGUGAUUGACGCUGAGGCUCGAAAGCGUGGG